rnacentral:rRNA from 1 species
AGGAUAAACGCUGGCGGCGUGCCUAACACAUGCAAGUCGAACGCGCUUUCGGGCUUCGGUGCGAGAGCGAGUGGCGGACGGGUGAGUAACACAUGGGUACCUACCUUGGAGUGAGGGAUACCGGCGAGAAAUCGCCGACAAUACCGCAUAGGCUUCUUCACAAGGGAAGCAAAGUGACGCGAGUCACGCUUUGAGAUGGGCCUGUGGCCGAUUAGCUAGUUGGGGGGUAACGGCUUCCCAAGGCGACGAUCGGUAGCUGGUCUGAGAGGACGAUCAGCCACACUGGGAUUGAGAACGGCCCAGACUCCUACGGGGGCAGCAGUGAGGAAUUUUCCGCAAUGGAGGCAACUCUGACGGAGCAACGCCGCGUGCAGGAGGAAGGUUUUCGGAUCGUAAACUGCUUUUCGCGGGGACGAGCGAAGGACGGUACCCGAGGAAGAACGCCCCGGCUAACUACGUGCCAGCAGCCGC